UAUUAUUUUAUGCUGUACACGUACUUAUAGGUUAGCAAUGAAGGACCAGAUCUGGUUCCAGAAGUGAAUAUAACCAUUGAAUGGCCGUAUCAAACAAAGAAUGGCAAACGCCUGUUGUAUCUUAUUAAUAUCACGGUUUGUGCAGAUUUCCAAUUUCAUUUUCAUCGUAUAUAUAUAUAUAUAUAUAUAUAUAUAUAUAUAUUGUAUUAAUAAUUGUUAUAAAUUAUUGUAACAAUAUCUCAAACAGAGCUUUCAGAAUUAUUUUGGGUAGGUGGCUCGGUGGCUGUGUUGAUAAGUAUAGACGGUUCUGGGGAGCAGUCUAGCCUGUGUUCCAGUCCACUACACCGUUCACACACAACGGUGUAGUGGACUGGAACACAGGCUAGGAGCGGUUUAGCGAAGUUAUCCAAAUGAACUAGACAUAUGUGUAUAUUGAUUAGAUAGAAACACACCUGAGUUCUGGAACCAAAUUACAAUGUAUCACUACUUUCAUUGUUCAACAAGAUAACUUCAAAAUAUAAGAUUGGAAAUAACUAAAUCAGGUCGUAUUUUUUUCUUGUUAUUCAUUUAGGGAGAUGAUAUUGAUUCAGGAAAAGCUACAUGUUUCCCUGAACCUGACUGGGUAAAUCCACUUGCUUCUCAGGUAACGUAUAACUUCAA